rnacentral:rRNA from 1 species
UACGGGGGGGGCAAGCGUUGUUCGGAUUUACUGGGCGUAAAGGGUGCGUAGGUGGCGGGGUAAGUCUGGUGUGAAAGCUCCGAGCUCAACUCGGAAAAGCAUUGGAAACUAUCCCGCUUGAGGGUCGGAGGGGAGACUGGAAUUCUCGGUGUAGCAGUGAAAUGCGUAGAUAUCGAGAGGAACACCAGUGGCGAAGGCGAGUCUCUGGACGACUCCUGACACUGAGGCACGAAAGCUAGGGGAGCAAACAGG